rnacentral:rRNA from 1 species
AUUGAACGCUGGCGGCAGGCUUAACACAUGCAAGUCGAGCGGAGUGAUGGUGCUUGCACUAUCACUUAGCGGCGGACGGGUGAGUAAUGCUUAGGAAUCUGCCUAUUAGUGGGGGACAACACCUCGAAAGGGAUGCUAAUACCGCAUACGUCCUACGGGAGAAAGCAGGGGAUCACUUGUGACCUUGCGCUAAUAGAUGAGCCUAAGUCGGAUUAGCUAGUUGGUGGGGUAAAGGCCUACCAAGGCGACGAUCUGUAGCGGGUCUGAGAGGAUGAUCCGCCACACUGGGACUGAGACACGGCCCAGACUCCUACGGGAGGCAGCAGUGGGGAAUAUUGGACAAAGGGGGGGAACCCUGAUCCAGCCAUGCCGCGUGUGUGAAGAAGGCCUUAUGGUUGUAAAGCACUUUAAGCGAGGAGGAGGCUCUUUUGGUUAAUACCCAAGAUGAGUGGACGUUACUCGCAGAAUAAGCACCGGCUAACUCUGUGCCAGCCGCCGCGGUAA